UAAUACUAACUUUGAUUGGUCGUCGCUUCGCUGAAAUAAGUCGUACAGCCAAUCCAAGACCAGCUUCUGAAAGCUAAUAUUUGGGAGAAACCAACUUGCCUAUGCGGGGAUAGCUUGGUGCAGUGCAGGGUUAGUGCGUGCGGUGUUGAAAAUAGGUCAUUUUUCUUCACGUAGUAACUCAAAAUUUCUUAAAGAUAUCAAACUCCGCAUAGAAUGUGUGUGUAGGUAGCAGUGUUGUUCACAUUUGUGUGGAUUUUCGUGGCCAUAGAAGCAAUAAUAUUCGUGCGAUGGCCACCGGCGCGGAGAGUGUCAGUCGGAGAGACGACGUUUUCAAGGCGCCGCCAUUUUCCCUGCUGUCCAGAGGCAUGAAGGACGUAACUUUCCGCAGAGAGCAGUGAAUCCAGCGACGAGGAGACACCUCUGGCGCAGCUUCGCCAUCCCAGAAGUGGCCCACGAUGUGGGUUCGCCAUCGCAUCGGCACUAUAGACAGGUCACGAGGACCCAUGCAGCUCCAGCGAAGACUUCGGUGAAGACGACAUGCCGUUGGCACACCUUGCAUAUAGGGAAGGAGGCACCUGUUACAAAAUGCCAUGUUUAGAUUUAUCAGUAUAUGUGCACUAGGGUUAUUAAGACCACUGUCACUGAUUUCUGCAAUAGAGCAUACUUAUAUCACAUUGGAAGUGCAAUUUGAUGCCUCAAGUUCCAUUGAAAGUUGUUUUUUGCGUAGACAGAAAGUGUCUCAUGUGGGGUGGGGAGGGGGGCGGUUAGUACAAAAUGCCAAUUUCAAGUUCAGCUAUCUCUGUUUCUGUGUACAAUAGGCUUAUU